rnacentral:rRNA from 1 species
UACAGAGGUCUCAAGCGUUGUUCGGAUUCAUUGGGCGUAAAGGGCGCGUAGGCUGCGGGGCAAGUCGGGUGUGAAAUCUCAGAGCUCAACUCUGAAACUGCACUCGAUACUGCUUUGCUUGAGGACUGGAGAGGAGAUUGGAAUUCACGGUGUAGCAGUGAAAUGCGUAGAUAUCGUGAGGAAGACCAGUGGCGAAGGCGGAUCUCUGGACAGUUCCUGACGCUGAGGCGCGAAGGCCAGGGGAGCGAACGGG